rnacentral:lncRNA from 1 species
GUAAGUACGCUGUGUGCAUGCUUGGCUUCUGCACAGGUUAGAAGAAGGAGUCGAGUCUCCUCAAACUGGAGUUACAGAUGACUGUAAGCCACCAUAUAGGGGCUGGGACCUGAACAGGUUUUCUCAAAGAAUAGCCACUGCUCAUGACCAUCGGGCCAUUUCAUUGACAGCCAGUGCUGGUGACUGCCGGGCUAUUUCAUUAUCCUACUACCUUGAAUUUCAUUUUUAUUUUAUAAUGUGCAUACGUCCAUUGGUGUAUUAUAUAUGUACUUAUGGUAGGUUUUAUACUCAAGGGGACCAAACAAAAAUAAUUUUGGAGGUCUAGAACCUAUAACAAAAAGGUCCCCUACUAAGCUUGUCAAUAACCAUUUUCCUCAACUGCUUCCUUUUUUCUAUUUGAGAAGAGACUGUUUAAUAAGAUUAUGAGCAGUGUUUGAUGAAGGUGCUUACUGACCCUAAUAAUGGACAGGGUGGGCAUUCACCGUGUUCUCUGAAGCCUCAGAUGUAGUGAAGACAAGGGCUAAAGAGCCUCACAGGGCACUUAGCUAGAUAUUUUUAAGAAUGUGUUGAAAAGAAAUCCACAAAGACCAGGACACCUGGUCAUGCCGGAUCCAUUAUGGCUCUCAAGACUGUCAUCAUUUGUGUGACCCAAGGGACUAUGAACCUAGGAAAGAACUGAGCAGAACUUUAUGUAAAUAUCCCCAGCGGUAUGAGCCACAGUAUUAUAUUGAGUUCCAUAUAGAAGCUCAGUGAUUCAACAGCCAUAUUAGAAUGAUUUUUAAUUUAAUUUUUAGAUCUGAUUAAAAAGAAAAUUUCUAGUUUGCUGCUGGUAACGCUAAUGUUUUGGCAACUCUAGUUCUAAAAUACCAGAAACUCUAGUGUUCUAAAGCUUCAUCUUUGGGCUAGAGAGAGGGCUCAGUAAUUGAGAAAUUUGCUGCUAUUUCAUCAGGUCUAGAUGUGUUUCCUGGCACUCACAUGGCUGUUGACAUGUGGCUGUAACUCCAGUUGUGGAGGAUCCUACCUCCUCUGACCUCCAUGGGCACCAGUACAGCUGUGGUGCACAGGUAUGCAU